rnacentral:snRNA from 1 species
CAGGCACGGCGCGCCAAAAAGAACAUAUCUUUUGCCUUUUACCAAAGAUAUCCGUUUGUAGCGCCGAUCAUGCCAUUCACUCAAUAUUUGGAAACCCUUCUUCUUGUCUC